rnacentral:rRNA from 1 species
AUUGAACGCUGGCGGCAUGCCUUACACAUGCAAGUCGAACGGCAGCGGACCUUCGGGUGCCGGCGAGUGGCGAACGGGUGAGUAAAGUAUCGGAACGUACCUUUCAGUGGGGGAUAACGUAGCGAAAGUUACGCUAAUACCGCAAAUUCUGUGAGCAGGAAAGCAGGGGAUCGCAAGACCUUGCGCUGAUGGAGCGGCCGAUAGCAGAUUAGCUAGUUGGUGAGGUAAAGGCUCACAAAGGCGACGAUCUGUAGCGGGCCUGAGAGGAUGAUCCGCCACCAUGAAACUGAGACACGGUCCAGACUCCUACGGGAGGCAGCAGUGGGGAAUUUUGGACAAUGGGGGCAACCCUGAUCCAGCCAUGCCGCGUGAGUGAAGAAGGCCUUCGGGUUGUAAAGCUCUUUCGGCCGGGAAGAAAUCGCGCCAGUUAAUACCUGGUGUGGAUGACGGUACCGGAAUAAGAAGCACCGGCUAACUACGUGCCAGCAGCCGCGGUAAAAC